GAAGGACCCGUCCCGGGCGUCGCAGAGCCACUGGAGACACACGUCUACGGCCUACGGGGUCCACGAAGAUAAGCUUCCGCCGGUCUCCGCUCCCUUCCCCCGCACCGCUCGCCGCGCGCUCUCGUGACGGUCCCGCCCGCAUCCUCCCUCCCUACCCCGGCGACCGCGGCGAUGGCCGUCCUCCUCCGCAACACGGCCUCCGCCACCGCCACGACCACCGGUCCCUCCCCGGCCCUCCUCGCCACCACCUUGCGCCGCGGCUGCGGCUGCGGACGCCUCCUGCCCCGCGCCUCGCCGCCGCGCCGCGCGUUCGCGGCCCGGUCCUCGGCCCAGCCGCUGGAGGUCUGCGCCAAGGAGUCCGUCACCGUCUCCGGCCGCAUCGGCGACUGUCCUUUCACACAGAGGGUUCUAUUGACAAUAGAGGAGAAACAUCUGCCAUAUGAUCUAAAGCUUGUUGAUCUAGCUAAUAAACCAGAUUGGUUAUUCCAAAUCAACCCAGAAGGUAAGGUGCCUAUUGUGAAGCUGGAGGACAAAUGGAUUGCUGAUUCUGAUAUUAUAACACAAGUAAUAGAAGAGAAGUACCCUGAACCAUCCUUGGCAACUCCACCAGACAAAGCUUCAAUAGGGUCAAAAAUAUUUUCCACCUUCAUCGGUUUCCUCAAAAGCAAAGACCCGAGCGAUGGAACAGAACAGGCACUACUUAAUGAGCUGACCUCAUUUGAUAGUUAUCUAAAAGAUAAUGGUCCAUUUAUUAAUGGUGGAUCAAUUUCUGCUGCUGACCUCUCUCUUGGGCCUAAACUUUAUCACAUGGAUAUAGCUCUGGGUCACUACAAGAAUUGGUCUGUUCCAGAUUCACUGUCACAUGUAAAAACAUACAUGAAGCAUAUAACGGAAGGGAUGACUCAUGGAUGCAACUUAUCCAAAUUCUUUACUAGUGGCAAAUUAGCUAUUGUUAUGUUGUAUGCAAAAUGCUAAAUACGCCAUUGAAAAAUCACCAUGCACAGUAUUAUCUAGUCGAUUUUCUCAAUGGAUUCUUUUGUCAAUACUCGAGCUCUGCCAGAGGAUGUAAUUGUUGGAUGGCGCCCAAAAGUCAUGGGUUAAAUCACAUUUGUGAAGUAAGACAUUCAGCGGAUUAUCUAGCCGAGCAAUUGUGUGGGCAAUUCUGCUACUUGCUAAUGAUACAAGGGAAGAUUAGCAUCUGUUGUUGAUAGUUAAGAGCACUCCAAUUGUAGCUGUACCCCUGAUGGGCUAAUGAUUGUGUGGUGUUUUAGUCUUUGGCCUUUUAAUUUCUGAACUAUGUUAGGCUAGAAGCUGGGUGCAGCUCAGCAACUGCUGUGGUGGUGCCUCCUACCAUAAUCAAGGCCCGUUAAGACGUCAACCAAUAUAUCUUCAUGGUUCAUACUAUUCUCUUUCUGAACUAGGGCAUGGGCUCUGGUUAUUCAUAUGUAGAAAGUAAAUAGAAGAUAAUAUCAUUAUGAUGUUUAGCUUCUUUGACAACACUUUGCAGCCGGACCAUCAUAUAAUAUCUUAACUGUUUUGAUUUUCCUGGAACAUUA